GCGAGCGUAGUUUAAUGGUAAAAUAACUCCCUUCCAAGGAGUGGACGCGAGUUCGAUUCUCGCUGCUCGCA
rnacentral:tRNA from 1 species